CCUUGCUUGCAGGUAAGCGGUUAGUGGCCGAUUGGUGAGUAACACGUAAGAAAUCUGCCUAUCAGAGGGGAAUAACAGUGAGAAAUCAUUGCUAAUACCGCAUAUGCCAUAGGAAUCGCAUGAUUCUAGUGGGAAAGGAGUAAUCCGCUGAUAGAUGAGCUUGCGUCUGAUUAGCUAGUUGGUGGGGUAAAGGCCUACCAAGGCGACGAUCAGUAGCCGGACUGAGAGGUUGAACGGCCACAUUGGGACUGAGAUACGGCCCAGACUCCUACGGGAGGCAGCAGUCGGGAAUAUUGCGCAAUGGAGGAAACUCUGACGCAGUGACGCCGCGUAUAGGAAGAAGGUUUUCGGAUUGUAAACUAUUGUCCACAGGGAAGAUAAAAGACUGUACCUGUGAAGAAAGCUCCGGCUAACUACGUGCCAGCAGCCGCGGUAAUACGUAGGGAGCAAGCGUUAUCCGGAAUUAUUGGGUGUAAAGGGUGCGUAGACGGGAUAACAAGUUGGUUGUGAAACCCCUCGGCUCAACUGAGGAACUGCAACCAAAACUAUUAUUCUUGAGUGCAGGAGAGGAAAGUGGAAUUCCUAGUGUAGCGGUGAAAUGCGUAGAUAUUAGGAAGAACACCGGUGGCGAAGGCGACUUUCUGGACUGUAACUGACGUUGAGGCACGAAAGUGUGGGGAGCAAACAGGAUUAGAUACCCUGGUAGUCCACACUGUAAACGAUGGAUACUAGGUGUAGGGGGUAUUAAGCCUUCUGUGCCGUCGCAAACGC
rnacentral:rRNA from 1 species